GACGAACGCUGGCGGCGUGCUUAACACAUGCAAGUCGAACGAUGAAGAAAAGACUCGAAGCUUCGGCAGAAAUUCAUUUCGGAUUAGUGGCAGACGGGUGAGUAACGCGUGAGCAACCUACCUCUUACAAAGGGAUAGCCUCGGGAAACCGGGAUUAAUACCAUAUAACAUUGCGACGAAGCAUUUCGAUGCAAUCAAAGCUACGGCGGUAAGAGAUGGGCUCGCGUCCCAUUAACCGGAUGGUGAGGUAACGGCUCACCAUAGUGACGAUGGGUAACCGGCCUGAGAGGGUGAACGGUCACACUGGAACUGAGACACGGUCCAGACUCCUACGGGAAGCAGCAGUGGGGAAUAUUGCACAAUGGAGGGAACUCUGAUGCAGCGACGCCGCGUGAGUGAUGAAGGAAUUCGUUUCGUAAAACUCUGUUCUAUGGGAAGAAAAGGACUGUACCAUAGGAGAAAGCUCCGGCUAAAUACGUG
rnacentral:rRNA from 1 species